AUUAUUUUUUUUUAUCUUUGAUAUUUUUAAUCUUUUAAUUUAAAAUAAAAUAUAUUUUUAAAAAAUAUUAUUUAAAGGCUCGUGGGCUGGGCUUGGGUCUCAUCUAUAGGAGUCGCGUAAUCUGCAGUAGCCUUAGCUUUAACCCGGCCCUGCCCAUUGACCAGUCAAAGCCCAUCAGGACCGACCCAAGCCCGGCCCAUUGACAACCCUUAAGACCACACUGAUAACACCACAAUUAAUAAUUAAAAGGACAAAGUAAGAAAAAUGACAAAUAAUUUAGAGGAUAAAAUUAAAAUUGCCUCAACAUUAUUAUUUUGAUAUGUCAAUCAAGCACAUAACAUCACAUAAUAAGCAUCACCAUAAAUAAAAGAUACGAGCACACACGGGAACAACAAUUCUUACGAGAAAAAUUUAUCCACGGCAUAACUUCACCUUCAAAGUUAGACGCACUCUUGUUUGUGGAAGUCUUAUUCAGUUAUCAUUUCUUUUUGUUUAGUUUUCCCGUGUAUUCUAUUCCUUUUAAGUUGUUCUGUUACUACUUAUUUUUGUACUUAUAGCCAUAUUAUUUUAUAUGAUGUUCUUUUUUGCCAAAAAGAGGUCACUGUUAAGUCACCAAUUAUCCUAAAAGCUUAAGUUAGUAGGAAAUGGGUUUAACAACAUAUAUCAAGCAUCCAACACCCUUACUCGUGUGCAACCCUCAUGUGCACCCCCAUCUUGCAUGUAGAAAUGUAAACAUUCAGACAUCGAGCGAAACUGAACUCAAAGGGAAGAAACAAAAUGCAAAUGACAAAAAAAGUCAAAACGUAAGGACUUAAACCCAAGGCCUCUCAAAAACCAAAACUCUAACAUCAUGCAUCAUUAAUUAUCUCAGAACUUAAGCUAUUAGGAGAAAGACCCAAUAACAUAUAUCAAGCUAUACAACAAUCAUACUAACUCCAUUUGCAAGAGCUCUACUAUCAACCUUAUCUUGUCUAUUAUCAUCGCUACCACGUGGCUCCAAUCAAAACUAUCUAGCUUGUUGGUAAGGUCAACCCAAUGCACUAGGGUUUUGUAUGUGCAAAUUAGUUUCCUUUUGUUGAGGUAUUUACAUGAUCAUGUCCUUUUUGAGAUAUGUUUGUUUUAUUUCUUCCGUGUUUUUGGAAUGGAUACAUCUUUUUGUAUAAUUUUUGCUUUCAAUAAGAUUUCAUCGUUGUUGUCAAAAAGGAUACACAGGGUAAAUAAGUAAAGUAUCUAUUAGCAGCCAUUUAAAAAAAAUUACACCAACAGCCCUUGUAAUUUGCUGAAAAUAAAACAUACAUCCCAUGGUAUCAGAAAUUGCACUAUAUGCAACACUUUGAACAUGCAGUUAGGAGAUAUAACAAUAUUUGGUGGUGUCAGGUAAACAAAUUUUGUAAUAUCUUAAAAUGUUUAUGGUUUUCGCAUUAAAAGAUGAUUCAGCAAAGUAAGGGAAAGAUUGAUGCAACACUUCAUUUGUGCCACUCACACACUGUCAAAUAAAGUCUACUAGCAGAGAUCAGAGUGUAAGAGAUUUACUAACGAAAUGUGGAAAUGUUAUAUAUAUACAUAUAUAUAUGUAUGUAUACAUGUAUAUACGUGUAUAUAUAUAUAUAUGCACACACUUAUAUAUUUGUAUAUAUAUUAUCGACAAAUCACAGGGUGAUCAGUGGAUACUCGCAUCCAAUGGCAUCAUUCUCCAACCAACAGUGUACCUGUUCCAAAAAAAGAAAAAAGAAAAACAAGUACAUGCACCACAGGACUGGAUUAUAAAAGUAGGUGCAAGGAGCUCAUGUACCAGAAAAAGAAAAAAUGCAAGGUGAUCCCCCUACAUGCUGAAAGUCGUUCCUUCUCGUUCUUUUUUUUGGGGAGGGUUACAAAAAAGUUCAAAACAGUUGUUCACUUUUCAAGUCUAAUAUCCUCAGCUACACAGAAAUAGUAUUCUCAGGAUGUAUAACUAAAUAGAUAUUCUGGGGACCAAAAAUCAUUGCCUUCGUCAAGACUUAGUUGCAUGACGCGGGGCGGGGGGGCGGGAAGCGAGAUUAUAGAAGCUCAUAGUUUGGGUAGCGCCGCGAGAGCAUGUAUGAAAAAUUUAUAAAAUAUCAUAUCUACUAUCAAGAGGAAAAAAAUCAACUUUAUGUCCCACUUGCCGCAAACAAAACCUAAUCAAUGGGUGGGAAGACCAUUUAUUUUUUGUUUUAAUCAUUUUUUGAUGAUUGGGGGGUCCAAAUGUAUAAUUAAGAAACUUUGUAAGUUAAAAUGAAAAACACUUAUAAAGGUGAAGGAGUUGAAGCGUAAUUAAGGGUUUAAAAAAACCCAAAUCAAGCGACGUCACUUCACUUUUCUCUCUCGACUCUCUCUCUCUCGCAACGACGCAAGUCACAACAACACCAGCCACCAUUGCCGCGACGCCAGCCACCACCAACCACAACAAAUCCCUCUUUCUGCGUUCACGGACCAUCGGAGACCCGGAGGCCAGACCCAGAUCUGAAGCUUGAAGACCCAAGCGAUCAAAAUCCCAGAUCUGAAGCAUGAGAGUACGGACCGUCGCAACAGGUACGCUUCCAUCACUGUUGGGAACGAAUCUCUAACCAGAUGGGCACGUUUCCGUCGCGCUUCUGAGGAAGAAGUGCCAAUUCGCGGUUCGUGGGGGGAUCCGCCACCCCCAUGCGCGAUUCCUGCAACUAAGGUCAAGAUAUAGGAUUAUACUUACGAACUUCUCCAAAAUACCCAUUCUUGAGACAUGGUCAAAUACUUCUACAACUAUAUGUGUUUAUGUUCAAAUAUGAAAUAUUAACCUCAUGUCGAAGCAAGAGCAAAAGUAGGGCCCUAAUUAUCCAUAAAUUUUCGAAGGCUAUCAUCUCACAAUUAAGGUGGUAGAGAACCAACCAAACGAAAACUUUUAUUAAAAUUAAAAGGAUUACGAAAUAUAGCAAAGUGGGAAAAGUGCUUCAUUACUAAAAGAGCAUAUCACUUAAUUAACCAAUCAUAAGCUACCCAAACCCAACAAAGAAAGUUGGCAAGCUACCAACCAGUAACCCCCACCCCACCAAAAAAAAAUUGUGCAUCUCGCCUAACAAUACAUAUGUAUGAGUUACACAUCAAGGCUUCAAAUACAAUCAAAAGAAAUAAUAAACAGACCAAAGAACACCACCAGACUGACCCCAUCUUCUUGAUAAAUGGCAUCAUAACUAAACUUUAAAUGGCGCAAAUGCUUCAUGUCAGGUCAAAAUUCAUAAUGACAAUGAAUCCCAUUGAACAACCUUCUAAAAAAUUCUACAGACAUCCAUGUCCCCUAGCAGUUGAUUUUACUAUCUUCUACAUCAAAUGUCAAUGACACCAAAGCAUUGGCUGCAUACAUACUUCUAUUUUACAUGACUUCUAAAUUUGUUUUUUGUCAGAAACCGGCAUGUUUAGUUCGAUUAAGGAAAGUAGUCAAGAUAGUAUGGCAAUUCACAAGACUCUAAUUUUAUGCAUAGAAUGCCCUACGUUAGUUUGUCAAUAUUAUUUUAACCAAAAAAUAAAAUAUCAAAUAAUAUUCAAGAAAUAAGAUAUCUAACCGAGCCUUGUGCUCUUGGACAUGAGAAAUUGAAGAAUCCGGCACUAAGAAACACCCGCACCCAAUACGGUACCCAAGUCUAUGUAACGUCAACACCACUUUCAUAGUUUGAUAUCUUUAAUAUGGCUGAUAAGAUUUUACUGAGAAGAGGAUAUUUGUCUUGUCCAGGUACACACAUCUUUCAUUGCUAGGGUGGAUUCAAGCUCCUUUCCCACAUAACAGCUCUCACCUAUUGCCAUCAAACCAAAGUUUGUUUAUUGUGCAAGAAUAGUGCGACAAUGAAAAGGGAAAAAAAUAACACUAUAAGGUAUAAUACAUGCGAUAGAAUUGCUGAUAACAUAAGAAUAACAGAGCCAUAAUAAAUAACUAUAGUAAAUUAAAGCUGGGGGCAUUUGCUUAUAAACACAAUACACAAGAAAUGUAGCUCAUAACAAAUGAAGCACCUCCCAUAGAACAUCUCUUUCAUCAUACAAUCAACAAAGCAAUGGUUGACUGAAGGAACGUUUCUGUUUAUGACAGUCGAAGUUAGUUCAUUAGCUUUUGAUUUAUAACUAGUCACAAACCAAGCUUAUCAAAACUUACUUUAAAACCUUGGCAUCCCUCUAUUCAACAUUUGUUACCUCUAAUAAUUAGUAAAAACAAAAUAUAAGUAUUUUAGUAAUAACAAAAUAAUGGAAACAGGGAGGGGGAGGGGGGGACGAGGGGAUGAGGGAAAGAAGAAAGCAUCCAAAAAAGUUUACGAUGUAUGUAUCCAGAAGUUAAAAACAGGCAAUCACUUUAAGGGUUAAAUCACCCCUUCUAAUGCUGAUCAUAUUUCCUCUCCCCUCAGGCAAAUAAGCUAGAUUAUGACCAACAACUAUUAGGAUUACCAUGGUCAAACAAAGGUAGCCCACCAACUUUUCUUUGGUCUCAUCUCGGUAUCUCAGAGAUUACACCAAGCAUCCAAGGCUCGAGUAUAAACACCUACAGCAAAGGUACAGUAACAGAAGGUAAAGCGUAUAAGCCCAGUCACCAUUAAUAAAUAGAAGGUUUCCAAUAUCAAAAGUGUCUGCACUCAAAAUCUCCGCAAAAAGAGGCAAAAAAAUACUUCGAAAUUAGAGAACUCACAUCGAAUGACUUAUAAAUUCCAGAAAAGUCACCAUAAGUCUAACAAGGUCAGAAGGUCGAGAUGCAUUAGAUCAUUAGUAGCAGCAAUUAGCGCCCUUACAGUUGCUAACAUCAUGUUGAUAUCAGCAUACAGCUGUUGACACAGCACCUCAACGAUAUCUUGCAUCCGAAUUCUUUGAUGCAUUCUCUAUACGCAAGUAACCUUGCAAAGAAGAGCGAGCUUAGAGAAGAAAAAUCAGAUGCGAAGUAGAGUCCAACAUCAUCAGUCCUCACGUCACUGUGCUUAUAGGAGGUCAGAUUUAAAUACCAUCAGCUCAACCCAUAUAACAAACCCACUAACUAAUUAAAAAAUAAAUAAAAUGCAACCAGCAAACCUAAUAAAAAGCAGCCUUUGUGUUCUCUCAUUGAAUCUACAACCUACUAUCUGUAAGAUCAUAGCACAAUACAGAAUUAGACACGCAUCCACCCUAUCUCUAUUUCACUGGAGAUAAGAUAUAGAUAUUAAGAAUUCAAUUUACGUUCUUGAUCACUAUGAGAGCCCGCCCUGGCUUCCUACUGAACCUUUGCGCAAAAGCUCAUGGAUAAGUUCUUGAUUAGUAGUAAAAGAAUAAACAAUCCACAAAAACCUGAUAAAGUGUAGAUGAAGAGCUCAACAAGCAACAAGGGUAUGUAUAAUAGUAAACAUUGUAUCCCACAUAUUCUUAGUGUCUUCCUAUCUUAACAACUAACCAACCAGACAUGCAUCCUACAUAACUAAAAAAGGGGAAGGAAUGACUCCAACAAGCCCCCAUACAAAUAAGUGAGAGAACAAUGAGAGAGAUUCCACACCAAUUUUCAGCACCUACAUCUAAGACUCUCUUCUAACUUUGGGUGAUCAUGUAAUGUAACUUAAUAGAACCACAAAAAAAGAAACUUGACAAGCACCAUGAUCGCCCAAUAGGGUACAUAAAGAAGUUAUUUAGAUCCAAUUUAGCUUCAUCUGUAAAGAAAAAUCACGUUCAUUCAACUUUGAUUCAAGGACCACGAAUGGAGCAGAUAGAUUCAAACAUCAUCAUGGUAUAAUUAAAAUUCACAUUAAGUUACCCUUUCAUUCAGCCGGAUAGAUGCAAUAUCGCGUUGGUAAGCACAUAACUCCUACAACAAAAGUGAAAAUGUGAAAAAAAAAAAAUGAGCUGCAUUUAAAAAACUAAACAUUAAUCUUUUGGGAGAAAAAAUAAUACAGGAAUAGAACAUUUGUUAUUCUGGAGAGAGAGAGAGAGAAGAGGAAAGAGUAGCAACCUAUAUAUUGAUGAGAGAUUAUGGGGGGGGGAUGUUUUGGUAACGUUUGUUUUUCUGUUUUUUGUGUGUUUGUUUUACUUUUUGUUUUGGUUUUGUUCAAUUUUUUUGUAAAACAAAACUAAAGCAGGUUUGUGUGUUUACUUUUUUUAAAAUUAUUUAAAAACAAAAAUAUGUUUUGUUUCAUUCACCUUUACUUUUAAACUAUUUUAAAAAAAGGUGUGUGGUGGAGGCGGUAGGGGAGGAGGAGGGUGAGAGGUGGGUGGAGGUGGAGGUGGAGGUGGUGGAGGAUGUGUGAUGGAGGGUGGGCGGAAGAGGAGGUGGCGGUGGUGGUGGAGUGUGAAAUGUGUGGAGGAAGGUAGUGAUGGGAGGAGGAGGAGGUCAGUGGCGGCGGUGUGUGAUGGUGGAGGAGGUGGUGGUGGAGGUGUGCGGCGGUGGCGAGGAGGAGGAGGUGGAGGUGUGGUGUUUGAAGGGAACCGCCAGGCUGUACGGUGUGUAGCGGUGAGUUGAUGUUUUGUUGGUGGAUUGACGGCAAAAAAGAAGGCUGUGAGGAUAUUUUGUGGUUUGGCUUUUCUUGUGUGUCUUCGUCUUUUUUUUCGGCGAUGUUUAGUCUGCUUCGUUUGGCUGUUUUGAUUUCUGUUUGUUUCGGUAGGAGGAUAGGAGAUAGAGGUUGAAAAAACUUGAUAAAAAAUUGUAAUAAAAUUUUGUCACAAAACAAAAUACAACUUUUUUCUUAUUUUUCACUAUUUUCAAAAAUAGUGAAAACUGUUUAGGACCUUGGUUUUCAUUUUAUUUUUUGGCAAGACAACCAAGUUUUCUUCUGUUGCCAUAAUAAGUUAAACAAACAAAAAACAGAAAAAAACAAAAAUUAAAAACAGUUACCAACAUCAACCAAUGAGUUCUCCUAUAUGCUAGUUAAUUUACACAUCUUAAUAUAUUCUAGAACUUACAUACAACUUACAAUAGAAAGUAGCAAUAUACCAUCUCCAAUUUUAUCCUACCAGGUAUGCACAUCCAGCAAAGAAAGGGAAUAGGUCAGUGGGCCCAGGACCCACAUGUCAAUAAAAAUUCUUAGCUUCAAAAAAUAGCAGGAUUUCUGCAGAUUUCCAAGUCCAUAUUUUAUAAAGCAUAUAUGUAUAUGUAAUGUAAAUACGAUUCAUAUUCCCAUAAAAAACAAAUUGUACCACAAGAAAGCAUAAAUGUUACAAUAAGCAUAAAAAAUGACUAUUUAAUAUUAAGCGUCAACUAAGCAUACAGUUUGAAUGCAGUACUGCAAAAGGAAAAUCAGAAAAGUAAAAAAAAAGUAACAAGAAACAUGUGUUGAAGAAAAGGAAAUACUGAAAAGAGUAGCUACUCAACAAAUCUAUUCACUAUUUAUGUGAUAUCUCAAUAUUAGAUCUCAGAAACUUACUUCUAGAGCUUUUUCAGCAUUCAUUUCUGUAAUUACUCCUGCUGCAUUAGCAGCCAAUAUCAUUAGGAUAACCUGUAACGUACCAUGGGUUACUGUAAGAAUAAAACAUUGCCAUGAUAGAGGAGGAUAUAGGCAAAGACCAUAGUAAAAUUAGCUGCUAGGUUCAGCCGUCUUUCCAUGAAUAACCUUGUUGCACUAGAGACAACAAAGAGGAAGCUUCGACUUAAAUCUCGAUACUUGUAUGGGUUGGUACAAGAUGGGCCAGCACAUGUCCCCUCUCGGAGGAGAACUGAAAAUAUAGAUAAAAUCGUCAAAAACCACUAGCAGAACUAGCAUCCCAGCAUUUUGUGUCCAUUGGUUUGGUGUGUCAAUAAUUUCAUGAAAACAAACACUAGACAGUACCAACAAACAAACCCAUAAUUGAAAAAAUAAAGGGUAAAAACAGAAGAAAGAAAAAAGAAAAGAGGAAACCUUCCCUUCUAGCUUUGGGGUCAAAAAUAAUAGAAGCAACCCAUUUCCUUUGAGAAUGUUAACCAACUGGUCCCCAACAGGGUCCAUGACCCAUCUACUGGUGUGUUUGAUGGAGCCCAGUGCAUUUCGCAUGGGCCUUCUCGUGCAUGAUACAAUAAUGAUAACACAAUUAAAGACUAACUUCAUAGUUCACAACGAACAUCGCAAGAAGAGAAAUAACUGCAAUUCAGAAUACCUAUUCUAAUUCCUCUCGCUUUUUCCGAUUGGAAUCUUGAGUAUUUUCCUAUAAGCCUCAACCUGGACAAAUCCUCAAAAAUGUUCAUUUCCCUUUCAGAGGAUUUGAAAUAUGUACAAGACACAGAAAAAAUACAGCACACAUAAAACGUAAACCUCUGAUUCCCGGGCUGCCUUCUUAACUUGCAUUCUAUGCCUUUGAGCAGUCUCAGCUUUCUUCAGUUGUUCCACUUCCGACAGCUUUUCCUUUUGCUCUGGUGGGCAACCAGCAACAAAUUUGAUGUAUUUAACAAACAAAGAUACUCUUACAAAACAACUACAAAUGUAAGAAAUAAAAUAGAAAAUAACAAAUACAAUAGAUACUAACUUCGAGAAGAGGCAGGCGGUAAUCCAUUGGGGAACUCAACCACAUUGGGGAACUCAACCACAUUGGCACUAGUUGCAGAGGCAUCUUUGCUAAACAAAAGAGCCCGCUGUCGAGUUGUGAGAGACGAAUCCCUCUUACUUUCAAUUGAUGAAUCAACAGAUUCCUUCAUUAGCUUCUUCUUUUUCUUGCCUUCAGGCUAACCAGCAGACACCAGUUCUUCUUCCUCCUCAUAAUUUGCAUCCUCAGAUCCUCUUUCUGAUAUGGAUUUCUUCUUACUGUCUUGGGUUGACCUUGGAGAAACAAAAUCUUCCAAAAUCUCAUCAGGUUUAGAAUUCUUACUAUCACUAUAAAUUCGUUUUUGUUUCUUGCUUGAUUCUUCCUCCAAAUCUUUAGCUCCUGCAGCAGUUUUAGAAAUUUUCAGUUUCUCGGUAUCUGAUCUCAUCUUCAUCAAAUGCCACAUCCAGUAAAGGCCCUCUUCGGCACCCUCUUGCUUUUACGAACUGGCUCAGAAUUCGGACCUUGGUUUCCAGAUGCAUUCUUUCCAGGCCCCUUCUCCAUUGAAGAAUCCUCCUUCCCACAACUAGAACUGCUAGAAAAAAUUCUUCCAAGGAACUCCUCCGAAAAGAUAUCUAGAGGAAAAUGAUCAUCAUUGAAUUUUCCUGAAAUUAUGUAAAGAUUCCAAAAGUGAAAAAAGGGAGUCAAGAUGCCAAAAAAAGUAUCUAGCGUGCCACUACUUUUGCUAUGUCAUACACAAAAAUAUAAAAGUGGCAAUGCUAUUGCUAUGUCAUACACAAAAAUAUAAAAGUUGCAAUUCAGAUAUAGACACCGAAACAGGGCUCUUAUUUAUAUUUGAUAACUGUGGUAUAAGUGUAGAUGUAUGCGUGAUUUCUGAAUGUUAUUUAACAUAACCAAUUGAUAAACUUGUAGCCCCAUAUAUAAACAACAAAACCAAUUGAUCAGUUUCAGGUAUAAUCUGUGUUAGCUGGACGCGGGUGCGGGUGUCGUGUGCGGGACGGAAUCUAGGUGUCGGGACAAUGUGAAGGUCAAAAAAUAGAGGAUACGCGGAUAUGGACUGAAAUUUGACCACGGGUGCGGGUAGGAUUACGGUAUUUAUUUUUUAAACUUUUAAUAUAAAAAAUUGUGAUUUUUUCAUAUUUAAAAGGAAAUUAUAAUUGCAAUAGAUUGUUUUCUUAGUAAUUUUAUUAUAAUUACUUUUAUUGCAAUAUUGUUUUUAAUUUUGCGAUCCCAAAAAAUUGCAUCCGAAAAAUAUCAAAGAAAAGUAAAGGGUAUAAAAAUCAUAACAUAAUUCAAAGUGAAGGGGGGCCAAUUGUAAUUAAUCAUAAACGAAAUAAAUAAGAAGUACAGAAUGGCUCAGGUUAAUUGCCUUAUUUUACCAGCAACCCCACACGGCACAACAAAUCCACACGGCGUGCACCACAGAGAGAGAGAGAGGGAGAGAGUUGAGAGACGCUGAAGAGAGAGAGAGCAAAUCGACGAAGCCUCGUAGGGUCAACCGACGACGGUAGCCUCAAGGAGCCUCGUUAGAGAGAGUAGUACCACAUUAGAGAGGGACCAAAUCAAGUAUCAGAGGAGUCUAAUCGAAGCAAAUCGAAGCAAUCGGACAUGUUCAAAAUCAGAACUCCGACGAAGGGCGCAACAGAGAGAGAAGCUUGUCGGAGUCUAGGCAAGGGUCGGCGAAGCUCGUCGGAGCCGGCAAGGGUCGGCGAAGCUUCGUCGACAGGCGAGGCGAGAGAUCUAUCUCGUUGGAGCCUCGUUAACGGGUCAUAUGUUAUUGGCCAGCAGUGGCUAGGGACUAUAUUCCUUCCCACCGCGACGGCGGUGGCGACGACUCGAUCGACGGCCGGACGACAACAACAACUCUAGCCGUAUCCCGGAUUCAAAUUGCCGCAACCCGACACAAAUCCGCACCAGUGUCGGAUCGUGUCGACAUGGGUACUCCAUCAAUUUCAAGCGAGGCCAGGUAACACAGGGUAUAAUGAGCAGUUAGGUACGCAUAGUCAAACCAACUGCAUGCUAUAUCAUGGCCCCUAAUGGUGUGAAUAAAUCAUCCAAAAACAAACAAAUUACCUAACUUACAGAAGAUGUUAGUGAUCUUAAAGACUUCUCCCACCUUUUUGCAUUAAUUAUCCUCAAUUUUACUACGUUACAAGCAUUUUAUGAGAAAAAAUGGCUUUCUAUUAUAAACAAUGCUCAAUUGGAUAUUUACUAAUUAGAUCUCAAAAAAGGCUUUUGCCACCAACUAAAUCAUGUUCUGUCAACAAUGACUACAUGUCAUGCAGUUAAUACCUUAUAGAUAAUCAUAUAAUUUACCUAAAAGUGUUUUCCUUCAUUCCAGGAGCCUUUCUUCUCAGUCAAACAUCUUUUAUGACAUCAGCAUGCGCACAAAUACACCAUAUACGUCAAUAGAUGUGUGAAAAAACAACAUUUCCCAUAUCCCAGAUGUGCUAAAGAAGACCAAUUUUACUCUAUAUAUCCAAUUUACUAAGAUGGCUAUCUAUUAUAUCACACCCACCAUUGUAGCAAAGUUCAACUUCAACAUCUUCAUCUCAAGAGUAUUAAACUCAAUAUGUAUGCAAACAAGGAGUAUCAUAGACAUUGACCAACCACAUAAAGCCUAAGUGCAUAUAUCAUUCUAAUCAAAAUUCAUUAAAUUGAACAGAAGGAUAUCAUUUCUCACCGAAGACUCCAAAAAUACCGUUAAUCCUGUUUCUUCAUUAAUUAAAUCCAAAAAGAAAGAAACAACAACAGCAGCAAGCAAUCAUUGAAUUGCUUCAAAAUCAGUUUCCAACAGGGAGUGCCAGCAUUGAGCAAAUUGCAGGUCCAUACAGAAAAUUAAACAAUUACUAAAUUGAUGAAUGAAUAAGCAAGUUAAGAAUCCAUCCCAAAAGCUAUCACAAAACCAAUAAUAGGGCAGCAGAUAAUAAUUUUUUUUUAUAUAAUUAAUAAAGACUUGAACUCCAGUUUCUUUACUAAGGAAAUUGGACAAAGGAGCUUGCAUUCACAUAUAAAAGUACUAACAAAUGGUGGCCUGAACUGCCAAGAGCCAACUGUAAAGGGGGAAAUUCCUAAAAUUCAAGUAGGGAGAGAAUAUGCCAGGCACGUACUUCCAUCCUGUUGCUAAUUCUUAUGCAAAAGAAGCAUGCCAACCAAAACUUGAAACAAGAAGCCAAAUAUAUGACAGUGCACUCGUGGAGUUUAAUAACUCAGACUAAACUAUAUUUUACUAAUUCUAUUAGAUUAAUUCUGUUAGAUCGAUCUCUGAGCAAAUGUUAGAUUUAUUUUUUAGUUAAGUAAAUGGGGAGGCGGGCAAAUAGCAUGGGGAGAGGGGAACCUUGACCUACUCGAACCCCAACCCUUUCCUCCCGUGGAGGAACAAAGAUUCUAAAAACUAAGCUGCGUCCAAUGGUUAUAAGUUUAGAAAUUUGGAACAUACCCUAUUUCUCGGCCACAAAGUUCCGCAACCUACAAAAAACCGAAACAAACAGAGAUGUUGCAAUGCAACACAAACAAAUCAAUGUAACAUAAAUUUGCCCAAUUGAAACCAUGCAUGUAAAUAAUAAAGAUAUCAUGCUUCUCAUUUUUAUUCAUUAAAUAAAUUCAAGAAACAAACAAUGAGUAACUGGAAAUCAGCUAGGCCAUUUGUUGACUACACGCCAAUGAAGUAAAAAACAAAUGUUUAGAGCAAUGAAUUUCAUGUAAUUCAAUAGGAUAACACCUCUUAGGCCAUCUCCAAUUAUUGGAGGUCGUCUUUUGUCAUUUGUCCAUCCAAUUUAAAUUUGAUGAAAGAACUGGUGAAGGUUGGAGAUGUCCUUAUGCAUGCCAAUAAUUUCCAGUAAUAGAAGACCUGCUACGGAUCAGGUCUUUUCAUUUUUGUGUUAUAGUUUCAAAACAGAAACCUCUGGUCAUGGUGCAUAUUUAAUGUAAAUUAAUAAAGAACACUAGACAUUGUUUUUUUGGGCAAGUAAGAAUACUAGAUACUAACAAAGAAAAUUCAGGAAAAACGGAAGGCAAAGCUUCAAGGCAUAGAACAACCACUUAGCAAGAUUCAAAUAUUAAAAUUCUUUACGUGAUCUUUCCAAUCAUCCAAAAAAAGAGGAUAAAACGAAAACAAAUAAGGUUUAAGAGUUCUUCGUGUAAGAUCUCUGAGCACAUCUCCAUUCCUUCAUCAUCAAAUUUAAACUUGGUGAAAGAAAGGGCAAAAAGGGAACGUCAAUCCUUUUAUCAAACUUGCAUCAAAUCAAGAAAUAACCAAAUCGUUCGUCAAAUGAAGUAUGAAUGACAUCUUUCAUCAAAUCCACUUUUCAAAUUUCAAUGAACUUCUAAAAAGAUAUGGAUUGGAUUUGAAUGAGUUUUUCAUUCAUCAAAAAAGGCAAAAAGAGGGGUUGGGAAUUCUGUGUAAAGACUUGGCGAAGAGGGUGCAUCAUCAUACCAAAACAAGCUUUUAACUAAAAAUUGACUCUGACAUUGAUGGAAAAAGAAAAGGGUAAGGAUCGAAGAUGGCCUAAAGAACACUUGCACCAGCUGCAAAACUUCAAGGCCCUACAACAGUCCAAAAGCAAACCCCAAUCCUUUCACUAAACUUGUAUCAAAUCAAGCCAAACCAAAAUCCUCCAUCAAAUCAUGUACGAUUAAAAUCUUUCACCAAAUCAACUUUUUACUUGAAUUUUGAUGAAACUUAAAAAAGAGCAAGAAUUGGAGUGAGUUUUCUUUCAUCGAAAAAGGUAAAAAGAGGGGUUGAAAUUAUGUGAGAAGAUUUGAUGAAGAGAGAGUAAUGCUUGGAAUGCAUCACACCAAACCAACUUUUAAACAAAAUUUGACUGGACGUGAAGGGAAAAAAAAGGGAGUAACGGGAUUGAAAAUGGCCAUAAGAAAUUCGUUGCUAAAGAAAAUCAGGGUUAACGAAAGAUAAAGCUUCACGACCUAGAACGGCCACUUCAACUCCACUACGUAAGCAGGAUUCAUAUAUUCCAAUCUUUCAAUGAUCUUUCCAAUCAACCAACCAGAGGCAAAAGAAAGAAAGUUUAAGAUGAAUCCAUUCUUUCAUCAUAUCCACUUUAUACUCAAAUUUUGAUGAAAUUUGAAUAAGACUAAAGAUUUGAAUGGGUUUUUGUUUCGUCGGAGAUGGUAAACAGAGGUCUAAGUACCCAUAUUUUGGGAAUUAUGUGAGAAGAUUCGAUGAAAAAAAAAAUACAAAUAAGGAUUUGAAUUUAUUAAAACAAAUCAAAUCCAACUCGAAUUUGAUGGAAAAAGAACGGAGUGAGGAUUGAAUUGAAGAACGGCCACUUUGACGCACUACGAUCUUUCCAAUCAACCAAACAGAGGCAAGAAAUAAAAUCACUGAAACAGACUUUGCGUAAGCGUCCUCCAUUGAAGAGGCAAAUCGAGCAAGCUCGAGCGUUUCUGUUACUUCCAAUCGUUCCUUCAUCUCCAUUGAUGUUUGGUUCGUGAAAUAUUUAUAUGAGAACCUGGUGUCGGUGUUUUUCUCAGUAGAACUAGAGAGACGUUACAAUUAAAGUGAAGUCACGAUCGAAGACUAGGGUUUGAGGCUUAUAUUUUUUUGGAAAAUUUUCAUAUCAGUGUUAAGACUUCAUUUACUAUUAAUUACCUAAUCUUACCGAAAAUAAUAUAUCGGGGGUAGUGAGUUGUAAUAAACAUUACCUCCCUUGUCGGCAACGAUCACCGUCAGUCGCCAGUCGCCGAUGUCCUACACCAAUAAUCAUUGGAUUUAAAUCCUAAAAACCAAAAACCCACAAAUCUUCAAAUUAGUUUCAUAUAUAGAUAGAUAGAUAGAUAGAUAGAUAGAUAGAUAGAUAGAUAGAUAUCACACAAGAAUCAGAUCACUUUCAUCCUAUAUGUGAAUCAAUAAAAUCAAAACCCACAAAUCUUCAAAUCGAGGAAUCUAUAAAUCUUCAAAUCAAUAAACCCAAGACCCAUAAAAUCUUCAAAUCAAAACAACAAAAACCCACAAAUUCUUCAAAUCACGAAAACCAAAACCCACGUAACUUCAAAUCAAGAAAACCCAAAACCACAUAUCUUCAAAUCAAAGUAAACCCAAAACCACAAAUCUUCAAAUCAAUAAAACCAACAUCCGUAAAUCUUCAAAUCAACAAACCCCUUACCCGAAAACGCCGGUGGUCUCUCUCUUCAUCGCGCGUCUUCACCCCCUCUCUGACUCUCUCUCUCUCCGUGUGUGGUGGCUUAACAGCUGAAGGCUCACCCAGGUUUUGUACGGUUAUUUGGGGGAUAUGGGAAAUUUUGGAGUUAUUAUUUGCUUAUGUCAGAACAGAAAGUUUUUUUGUGAAAUUUUGGUGUAUUAAAUUCGAACAUUAAGGAGGUCAGUAUAAUUUUUCCAAAAAAAUAAACAAAUGCCUAGUUUGGGUUGAC
rnacentral:lncRNA from 1 species